rnacentral:misc_RNA from 1 species
GGGGGAGAAGUUGAUUGUCGUGGUCCUGUCUCCGAUGCACCGAGGAUCUGCUCCGGCGCCUGCUCCGGCCGGGUACGACGGUCCUGCUGUUGCUCCGACGAGUGGAGCUGCCGAGAUGGCCGGAAGGGGGUUGGUGGGAGCUCUGGCUGUUUUGGGUGUGGUGAUGGGGAUGAUGGUGCUGUGAGGGUUGGUUCUGGUUCCAUUUAGAUUUAGUUCAUCGUCAUUUUGAUUUGAUGAUAU